rnacentral:tRNA from 1 species
GGAGUGGUUGGCAUAGCGCGCAAAGCUUCGGAUUGCUAAUCCGAAGGACCCGGGUUCGAUUCCCGUUGGGUCCC